CUUCGCUCCUACCGACAGUUGGCGAUUCAACACAGAGAAACAUGGCUGGACUGAACGUAGAAGCAGCGGCGGGAAACAUCUGAAGCGUUGGACUUUCUCGAUUAAAGCGAUUUAUUUCAGGAUGAUGCAGAACUGAUGGAGAGACAGAAACUGGAUUGACAUCGUUGUAAGUGCUGCUCGUGUCUCCAAACACUGGCAAUCCGCAAGAUAAGCAGAUGAGUGUUUAUCACUGCAACUUCAGCAUGUCAAGGUAUCAUUUUGACAAAAAUGUGUUCAUGACAGACCCUGGAAAAACUAUAUAAAUAUACCAAUAACUAAAUCACCAAUAAAUAAAGUGCAAUAAAA